GAAAUGCGAUAAGUAAUGGGAAUUGCAGAAUUCAGUGAAUCAUCGAAUCUUUGAACGCACCUUGCGCUCCUUGGUAUUCCUUGGAGCAUGCCUGUUUGAGUAUCAUGAAAUCUUCAAAGUAAAUCUUUUGUUAACUCAAUUGGUUUCUACUUUGGUAUUGGAGGUCUUUGCAGCUUCACACCUGCUCCUCUUUGUUCAUUAGCUGGAUCUCAGUGUUAUGCUUGGUUCCACUCGGCGUGAUAAGUUAUCUAUCGCUGAGGACACUGUAAAAGGUGGCCAAGGUAAAUGCAGAUGAACCGCUUCUAAUAGUCCAUUGACUUGGACAAUACUUUUAUGAUCUGAUCUCAAAUCAGGUAGGACUACCCGCUGAACUUAAGC
rnacentral:misc_RNA from 1 species